rnacentral:rRNA from 1 species
UUUGAAAUUUAUAUUUUAGUAAAAAAGCUAAAAUUAUCUAUAGGGACGAGAAGACCCUAUCAAGUUUUACAAUCCAAAAUUUAUUUUCAAAUUAAGUUUAAAAUUGUUUUGCUGGGGCAGCAGAUAAAAAUUUUUUAUUUUAAAAUUAUGAUAAAUAAAUCUUGAAAAAUCAAAAAAUUUUUAAUUAAAAAUAAAUUACUGUAGGGAUAACAGCAUAAUUUUUUUAGAGAGUUCUUAUCAUCAAAAAAGUUUGUGACCUCGAUGUUGGAUUAAAAUUCCUAAUUCGUGCAAUAAUGAAAUAA